CAUCACAGCAAUUGGUGCCUGCUACCUGCCUGACUGGAACACACGGUUAUUUUCACACUGAUAUUCAAUCAUGACAGGGUGCUAUCUAUUCCUUUCUCUCCAUUGUAGUAGAAAUAUAAACAUUUUAACAUUCCUGCUACACAUCCUGGGGCAUCUUGCAGCUCAUAGUCAGUGCGGGAGCUCAGCUGUGAGGCAGAAACGUUUCUUGCACCUGCUACUACAGUAGGAGGAGCAGACCGCCUCCAAGCCCCUCCCCUACCAAAAGAAGACUUUAACUGGAUUUGGAUUGCAGCACAGCAGCCAGGUUACCUAGGCAUUGUGGUUAGCUCUGGAGGAAUGUCUAUCGAGAGUCUGGAGAUGUGGAAGAGGAGAGAUUAUGGCCCGAAGAUGAAAAGGAAUCAGGAGGAGGAUUGUAGGCCACUGCCUUACAUGAAUGAAGCAGAUUUAUUUAGGGAUAGUUCUUUCAUUCUAAGAAGGAAGGAGGAAUCCCUGCCUUGCAGACAGUUCCUAUAUUUUGAAAAUAGUAAUCAUAAUAUUCUGCAGUCGAUAUAUUUGUGCCAGGCACUUUAGGUAGGUUGCCCCCAGGAGCAUCCAGAGAGAUGUAGAGGAUUAUUGCACUAUGGAAACAAAUCAAAAGGGUUACAUUAUCUGGUCGCAUGAAGAGAGGGUAAGGACAGGGAGCGGCCAAGUACACUGGAUCUGUGCUCUAUCCACCACUGCCUCUUGCAGAACAGAAGUGCAGGCAACGCAGAAACUACUGCAAUAUUAGAAGCGUCCCGGAAGCAGCUCUGUUAGGUGUCCAGAUCCCACCAGAGAGAUCUCAAGCCACACAGUCUGUGCCUCAGGCUGUGUGAUGACCAGAAUGUGGGACAGUGAUGUUCUUCCAUCCAGUCAUUAAACUUGUAGGAUGAGUCUUUCA